rnacentral:misc_RNA from 1 species
GAAAUGCGAUAAGUAAUGUGAAUUGCAGAAUUCAGUGAAUCAUCGAAUCUUUGAACGCACAUUGCGCCCCUUGGUAUUCCAUGGGGCAUGCCUGUUCGAGCGUCAUUUGUACCCUCAAGCUUUGCUUGGUGUUGGGCGUCUUUGUCCUCUUCUGGAGGACUCGCCUCAAAACAAUUGGCAGCCGGCAUAUUGGUAUCGGAGCGCAGCACAAGUCGCACUUUGUUCCAGGAAUUUUGGCAUCCAUCAAGACCAUUUUUUCACUCUUGACCUCGGAUCAGGCACGGAUACCCGCUGAAUUUAU